GACGAACGCUGGCGGCGUGCUUAACACAUGCAAGUCGAACGGAAAGGCCCUGCUUGCGGGGUACUCGAGUGGCGAACGGGUGAGUAACACGUGGGUGAUCUGCCCUGCACUUCGGGGUAAGCCUGGGAAACUGGGUCUAAUACAGGAGAGGGGCCCUUUUGAUGGUGGUGGGUGGAAAGUUUUUUCGGUGUGGGAUGGGCGCGCGGCCUAUCAGCUUGGUGGUGGGGGAAUGGCCUACCAACGCGGGGACGGGUGGCCGGCCGGGGAGGGUGGACGGCCAAAUUGGGACUGAGAUAAGGGCCAGACCCCGACGGGGGGCAGGCGGGGGGAAUAUUGGACAAAGGGGGGAAGCCUGAUGCAGCGACGGCGCGGGGGGGAAGACGGGCUUCGGGUUGUAAACCCGUUUCGCUAGGGACGAAGCUUUUUGUGACGGUAACUAGAUAAGAAGCACCGGCUAACUACGUG
rnacentral:rRNA from 1 species